rnacentral:lncRNA from 1 species
UAGUGACCAAUUGAAUGUGAAUAAUGUGAAUGUAAAUUAUAAUAUGAGUACUUAUAAUACACCAAAUUUAUUAAAAGAACAAAAUAACGAAAAUAAUAAUCGAAAUAUUUAUAACAACAAUGAUAUAAACAACACAAGAUUAAAUCCGUAUGAAUAUAAUUUAUUAAUGAAACAAAAAAAUAUAUAUUAUAAAAAUAAUUUUCAUGCUUUACAAAACAACUUAAACCAAAACAUUAUAAUUAACGGUAAUAUUCGUAACAACAACGACGACAACAAUAAAAACAACUAUAUGAAUAAUGUUAAUGAUAACAAUUGCAACAGUAACAAUGACAAUAAUCCUAUGUUUGAGCAUUUUUAUAAACCUUUAAAUGUAAAAAAUGUUCCCAAUGUUCCUACUCAUUAUAAUACAAAUUUGAUGCAAAAUAAUAACAAUUUGUAUUUGAAUGAAUAUGAAAAAAACAUGUCAUAUAAUAAAAAUAAAAAUAUUAUAAAUAAUAAGAUUGAUUUUAAUAAUAAAAAUGUAAUAGAUAAAAAUGAAAUAAAAUUAAAUAAUAAAAAUAAUAACAGUAGUAUUAGUAAUAGUAAUUCACAGAAUUUAUAUAUAAAUAAUAAUUUAAAUGUUAAUGGUAGUAUUAAUGACACAAGUCAAAAUUUAAAUAAUAUAGUUUUAUCAAAUUGUAACAACAUUAGUAACAAUAAUAAUAAAAUUAUGAGUACUACUACUAAUAAUAAUAUUGUAAGUACUAUAAUUAAUAAUAACGUGAGUGGUACCACUAAUCCUUCACAUAUAGGUACAACAACCACUGAACUCCUUACCGGUGCAAUAUCUCCCAAUAAUAAUACUCUUACCACUAUUAAUAACAACAAUAAUAAUAAUAGUAAUAAUAGCAAUAAUAACAAUAAUAGUAAUAAUAACAUUUAUAACACGUUUAGUAAAAAUAAUAAUCAAGUGUAUAAUCAAAGAAUUUAUUAUAAUGGGAACAUAAACAAUAAAAUUGUAAACGCAAAUGUCGGUAAUAAUGUAUGUUCUUACCCUGUUCGUAAUAACAAUAUAAGUAGACAUAACAACAUAAAUACUCAUAACAAUAUAAAUAGUCAUAACAAUAUAAAUAGUCAUAACAAUAUAAGUACUCAUAACAAUAUAAAUAGUCAUAACAAUAUAAGUACUCAUAACAAUAAUGUAAUAAACAAUUUACAUAUUAAUAACAAUAACACACUAAACAAUAACAUUAAUUCUUUAAAUUUUAAUAUAACAAAUGAUAUGGGAAAUAAUGUAAAAAUUAAAAAACCGUUGAUAAAAAAUGUUAUUAUAGAUGAAAAUAUAUCUAAUCAAAAUAAUGUUAACAGUAAUACGUACCAUAACAUGUGUAAUACUAACCCAUACAACAGUAACAUAUACAAUAAUUACACUUACAAUAAUAACUCAUACAACGAAAAUAAUCAUUUAAUUCCUAAUUAUAACGAAGCGAGUAGAAACAACAAUUAUCCUAACUUUAAUACCACGAACAGUAAAAAUAACAAUAACAGUAACAAUAAAAAUAACAAUAACAAUAACAGUAAUAACAGUAAUAACAAUAAUAACAAUAAUAACAGUAAUAACAAUAAUAAUAGUAAUAACAAUAACAACAUUAAUAGUGAUUGUAUCAAUUAUGAUUAUGUAAAAGGGAGUAACACUUAUGUGAAUAUUGUCCGUAACAAUGCCAUCCCCAUGAAUACUAAACAUUCAAUUUAUAAUAAAAAAAUAAAUAAUGACAUCAGUAAUAGUAUUAUUAGUAACAGUAUCAUUAACAAUAGCAAUGUAAAUACUAAUAACUUAAACAACAUGAACAACUUAAGCAGCAUGAACAACGUUAAUAACGUGAACAACUUAAGCAGCAUGAACAACGUUACCAACAUGAACAACGUUACCAACAUGAACAACGUUACCAACAUGAACAACGUUACCAACAUGAACAACGUUACC